UUCAUUUAAAGUAAAUUGCCAAUGCAAAUAACAAGCUCUCAAACAAGUAUAAGUGAAGCACGAUAGCACAAGUUUCUUUAAAAUUUCGAAGUCUUAAAAUUAUAUAAGCGAAGCAAGAGAGGAUUUAUUUAAAAUUUCAGAAACUAUCAAGAUAAUCGAAGUGAAGCGUGAGAGUGAAUUUCUACAAAAUAACAGCACCACCGUGCUCAAAGAGAUAUAAAUGAAGCACUUGAGCAAUUCCAUGGCUCAAGAAAUUGAAGUGAAGCAUAAAGAGCGAUUCUAAUAAAUCAUGGCAUAAUUUAGCUCUCUUAAAUGGGUGUGUCCAGCAAGGUUUAUUAUGGGAGGCUAACCAGAAACUAAAGCAAAGACACAAAUGACACAAAUCGUGAGUAAGAAUUAACCCAACUCGUAGCAACUACUCCUACUAGUGCCUAGAGACCGUAUCACGCGCUAAAACUUCUUGGGACCAGCUAAAAUCAACAUUUCUAGCUCAAGAACAGGGUCACCAAGGUAGCAAUAAUACGCGAAGGAUAAAGCACUAGAGCAAAAACUAAUUGGACCAAUGGAGGAGUCACUUACCAAGGAGUAAUUUCCCCAAAACGGUUCGAAGAAUGGUGCUUUGAGCAAGGAUAUCAAAAAUCACAGCCAAAUGAGCAAGAACACGGGUUUGAGCAGCGAAUUUUUUUUGCGAGGUGGAAGAAGAGGAUGGGACCUGGAAUGAGUGGAGGGGGUCCGUGUGGGCCCCACAAGCUUGGUAGCCGCCACCAGGGGGGCGGCAGCUACAAGGCUUGUGGCCCACUGGUGUGGCCCCCAGGCCAGCUCUCAGUCCCAGUAUUUUUCAAAUAUUCCAGAAAAAUCGUACUAUAUUUUCAGGGCCAUUGGAGAACUUUUAUUUUCGGGGUAUUUUUCUCCGAGACGCUAAAAUAGAAAACAGGAAAAACUAAACCAAAUCUAUCAUUUUUCUUCUAAGCAACUGAAAGUGACAACUUAAAACAGAGGUAUGUGACUCUUUGAUUCAUCCAUUUCAUGGUCAUCGAAAGAAAUCCGUCAAUGGGGUUGAUCAAACCCUCAUGACAAAACCUUCUCGAAUCGCAAAAGAGAACGGAGCAUUUUCGAAUAGCCACUAAGUCACCUCAAUGGGGAUAUGUAUCUCCCCAACAAGCAAAUCAUACUUCAUCUUGACACGAGGAAUAGGGCAUUCAAAGCUCCCAAUAAGAAUCGAUGAAGUCUUUUCGAUAGUAUUGAUGCAAUGUACUUGAUAUCGUUUCUUAGGAAAGUGCAUUGUAUGCUCAUUACCGUUGACAUGGAAAGUGACAUUGCCUUUGUUGCAAUCUACAACAGCCCCUGCGGUGUUUAAAAAGGGCCUUCCGAGGAUGACAGCCAUGGCAUCGUCCUCGGGAAUAUCCAAGAUAACAAAGUCUGUUAAGAUAGUGGUAUUAGCAACCACAACAGGCACAUCCUCGCAAAUGCUGAUAGGGAAAGCAGUUGAUUUGUCGGCCAUUUGCAGAGAAAUUUCAGUGGGUGUCAACUUAUCCAAUUCAAGUCUACGAUAAAGAGAGAGCGGCAUAACACUAACACCGGCUCCAAGGUCACAUAAGGCAGUUCUUACGUAGUUUCCUUUAAUUGAGCAAGGUAUAGUGGGCACUCUGGGAUCACCAAGUUUCUUAGGAGUUCCACCUUUGAAAGUGUAAUUGGCAAGCAGGGUGGAGAUCUCAAGAUCUGGUAUCUUCCGUUUAUUGGUUAUGAUAUCUUUCAUGCACUUGGCAUACGGAGACAUUUUGAGCAUAUCAAUUAACCGCAUCUGCAAAAAGACGGGUCUUAUCAUCUCAACGAAGCGCUCAAAAUCCUCAUCAUCCUUUUUCUUGGAUGGCUUAGGAGGAAAGGGCAUAGGUCUUUGAACCCAUCGUUGCCUUUCUUUACCAUGCUUCCUAGCAGUGAAGUCUUUCUUAUCGUAUCUCUUAGGUUGUGGGUUAUCAGGAUUAACCGUAGGUUCAAUCUCCACAUCCUCAUCAUUGCUAGGUUGAGCAUUAUUAUGAACAUCGCUGUCCAUAUUGUCACCAGGUUCAGGUCCAUCACCAGAUUUCUUGGCUUCUUGCAUAUCUUCGGGACUGAGGAAUAGAAUACCUGUUUUCUUAGGAGUUGGCUUAGGAGGCGGUUCGGGAAUAGUCCAAGCAUUAUCGUUGAUCAAGAUGUUAUUCAGUAGAAUCUCAGCUUGUUCUAUAGUUCGUUCCCUAAAAACACAACCGGCACAACUAUCUAGGUGGUCUCUAGAAGCAUCGGUAAGUCCGUUAUAGAAGAUAUCAAGUAUCUCGUUCUUCUUAAGUGGGUGGUCAAGCAAAGCAUUCUGUAGCUGAAUGAGCCUCCCCCAAGCUCGUGGGAGACUCUCUUCUUUGAGUUGAGCAAAGUUGUAUAUUUCCUGCAAGGCAGCUUGCUUCUUAUGGGCAGGGAAAUAUUUCUCACAGAAGAAAUAGACCAUUCCCUGGGGACUACUCACACAUCCAGGAGCAAGAGAAGUGAACCAAGCUUUAGUGUCAUCCUUUAGAGAGAAAGGAAACAUCUUAAGGAUAUAGUAGUAGCGGAUCUUCUCCUCACUAGUGAAAAGGGUGGCUAUAUCGUGUAGUUUGGUAAGAUGAGCUUCGACCGUCUCAGACUCAUAACCGUGGAAAGGAUCAGAUUCGACUAGAGAGAUUAUCUCAGGGUCGACAGAGAAUUCAUAAUCCUUAUCGGUGAUAAAGAUAGGUGAAGUGACAAACUUCGGGUCGUAUUUCAUCCUAGCUUUCAGAGAUUUUUCCUUGCACUUGAGAAGUAAUUUCUCAGUGUCAUAGGCAUUCUUACACGGUAGAAAAUCCUCAGCUAUCUCUCCCUCCAUAACAUAACCCUCAGGUAUAUCAGGAAAUUCAUAUCUAGGAGAGCUAGAUCUGGCAGGAGCAAAAGCAGGUUCUAUCUCAAUAGUAUCAGCAGUUUGAGUAGCAUCACGAUAUUGGCAGUAACUCUAGCAAUAUGAGCAUCAAGGAAUACCCCUAGUGGCACAUCAGGCAAAGUAGUAUCUCUAGCAGUAUCAAGCAUAGCAUCAUCAGGCAAAAUAGCAUCUCUAGCAUCAUCAGGCAAAGCAGUAUCACGCAUAGCAUCUCUAGCACUAUCAGGCAUAACAUCUCUAGCAGUAUCAGGCAUAGCAUCUCUAGCAGUACCAGGCAUAGCAUCAUAAGCAUCAUCAAGCACAUGCGACAUAUCAAGAUUUCUAGCAGGAGGUGAUGUCGCAAACUUACUCAUAACGGAAGGUGAAUCAAGUGCAGAGCUAGAUGGCAGUUCCUUACCUCCCCUCGUAGUUGAGGGCAAAACUUUGGUUUUUGGAUCUUUCAGAUUCUUCAUAGUGAUCAGCAGAUAUAAAUCCCAAGUGACUCAGAAAAUAUAGCAAUCGCUUCCCCGGCAACGGCGCCAGGAAAAUGUUGCUAGCAGUCCCCGACAACCGCACUAGAAGAAUGUUGUUGACGUGUUCCUGACUUGAUGCCUCCCCGGCAACGGAGUCAGAACUGCUCCCAGUUGCUCAACAAUUAGCAAUUGUCUUGGAAUGGCCCACCAGCGCGUGGGUUCGCGGCAGCUUUCGAGGGUAGAAUAUUCAACCCAAAUUUGGUGGUUCGCCGGACAGGAAGUGAGAGGAUACUCUCAAGUAUUAGCAGCUGAAUGUGUCAGAUUCAACCACAGCUGAAAGAUUAGUAUCUGCAAGAAAAGUAUUAGCAACAAAGUAGUAUGAUAACAACGGUGUCAGAAACGAUCUGUUGACCACAGACUAUUCCUAACAAUUGUAUCAAUGGCGCCAGAAGUUGCCCGUAGACGAGAAAUAUUCUUUCCCGUCAACGUCGUGCGAACAAGUAUUGUAGCAGGUAGCAGCAGUGUAACGAGUAGCAACAGUGGCAAGGAACAGCAGUAGCAAGUAACAGUAGCAAGUAGCAACAGUAGCAAGUAACAACAGCAACAAGUAACAGCAGAGCAAAACAAGUAACAACAGCAGUGGGACAAACUUGUAGGCAAUGGGUCGGUGAUUUGUUUGGAUGAUAUUCAUCAUGCAAUAGUUAUAAGAAGAAGAGAUAUGUGUCUAGCUCCCGUUCGUCAAUGUGAUGUAGGCAUGCAUUCCGUGUGUCGUCAUACGUGCUUAGGGAAAAGAACUUGCAUGACAUCUAUUGUCCAUCCCUCCCGUGGCAGCGGGGUCCAAAAGGAAACUACGGGAUAUUAAGGUUCUCCUUUUAAUAAAGAACCGGACCAACGCCUUAGCACUUGGUGAACACAUGAACUCCUCAAACUAUGGUCAUCACCGGGAGUGGUUCCGGUUAUUGUCACUCCGGGGUUGUCGGGUCGUAACACAUAGUAGGUAACUACAACUUGCAAGAUCGGAUCCAAAACACACAUAUAUUGGUAACAACAUAAUAACUUCAGAUCUAAAAUCAUGGCACUCGGGCCCUAGUGACAAGCAUUAAGCAUGGCAAAGUAGUAGCAACAUCAAUCUCAGAACAUAGUGGAUACUAGGGAUCAAUCCCCGUCAAAACUAACUCGAUUACAUGAUAGAUCUCAUCCUACUCAUCACCGCCCAGCGAUCCUACGAAUAGAUUACUCACGAACGAUGAAGAGCUUCAUGGAAUUGGAGAGGGAAGAAGGUUGAUGAUGACGAUGGCGACGAUUUCCCCUCUCCGGAGCCCAAAACGGACUCCAGAUCUGCCCUCCAGAUGAAGAGCGGGAUGUGGCGGCGCCUCCGUAUCGCAAACGCAACGAAAUCUUCUCUCUUUAUUUUUUCUGGGACGAAAGUGAAUUUAUAGAGCUGAGUUUGGGGGCGGCAGAGCCACGUGGGCCCCACAAGCUUGCUAGCUGCCACCAGGGGGUGGCGGUUACAGGGCAGAGGCUACAGGUCUUGUGGCCCACUGGCCGAUCCCCUCCGGUGGAUCUUUGCGCAGGUAUUUUUCAUAUUUUCGACUCCCACCUCCCACCUCCCACCGCGGCGAUCCAAUGGCGAUCUGGCGCUCUAGCUAGCGUUUCCUCCAUUCUCGCCGCUCCUCUGCUCAAGUGAACCCUCCCGACCCCCCUCACGUGGUCGUGCAUGGCUUGCAUGGGUGGCUCUACGUUGGAUCUGGAUUUUUCGCCUGGUUUGGCUUUCGCCGAUGAGGUUUAUCGUCACUCUGGUGUUACGGUGGUUUCUUUUGGUCGUCAUGUGUUCCGUCUUUCGACGGACACAGUCGCCGCAGCUCUGGAAUCAAUGAUUGGGGGAUCGGCUAUUCAGUUUCGUGUCUCUCAAGUGACAGACUCGGUUUUCUCCUUCAAAGUGUCCUGCAUGCAAGUCGGUUUUCAUAUUCUUGACUUACGCUCAUUCGAAUGCUCAAGUUUUAAGUGCUUAUUCCAUCUAUGGGGGCAUGGUGGUCCUAAUUGGCGUCGGGAAUUCGCUCUAUGGAAGAAGCAAUGUGAUGCUGAAUGGAUUAUUGUGAGUCCUUCUAAGAGGAGAGCCGCACUAGGUCUAAUGGCGAUGCAUUCCAGACCCCUAAAAUCUUCUCUUAAAUCUGGAUCUUCGGUUCGUAGGAAGCUCACUUUCGCAUCACUCCAGCAAUAUGAAGUUUGCAAGGGUUACAGAUGUCAUGUUUCCCACGAGGAGCUACUCACGCUUGAACAUGCUGGUUAUUCAGUGCCUUCUGCGGAACGUGUCAUCAUCUCGGCGCCACCGCCGGCUGAACUCCGGUGGACGACAGCCACGCCGCAUAUUACGUUUGGCACAGUUUCUCGCCAGGAUUCAUCCCCCGGAUCUUCCGGCGCUGAUUUUCAAAUUGCCAAAUUAAACGGAACUUCUUCCGUGCAACAAGGUGCUGCAACUGGUCCCGCCGAGAUUCAUGGUAUUUUGAAUUAUGAGAAUCAAUUUUCGGGGGACAGUUUGGAUUCUGGGCCGAUUUCCACGCUCAUUAAUGAGCCUGCUGAGGUUUCCACCUUUUCUCGGCCCGAACCUAAUCCUAGGAUGGAUAUUCCAUCCUCGCAGGAAGCCCAUCUGGCCUUUGAUGAACUCAUUAAUGGCAUGGUUGAGGAAAUCUUUUCUUGUUCGAUUUGCAACGCUCGGGGCCAUCUAGCUGCCAACGGCACGGCUUCGCCUGGAUUCGCUGACAGCACUAUGGGCCACGCACGAUCUAGAGGAGCAUCUUUUAUGCGUAAUAAUUGUAUUACUUGGAACUGUAAGAGUCCCACCACCUUCCCUGUCGCUGAUAUCUCGGGAACUGCUGAUACUCUUGGCGAAACCGCAACGCCUGCAGCACAGUUCCGUCCUGUCUCAUCGCCGUCGCAUCCUCGAACUCCCUCCGAGACGCCGCCUGCCACUCCGCCACCGCCUCCUGCAAUGGCGAACUUCGAGCUUGAUCCAGAGUUCUUCCUCCCGUCUGGCCACAACAUCAUCGACGGAGGCCCUGACCGGAUGCCUCGGACCUACACCACACCAGCGGUCCCCAUCACCCGACGUCAUGAGCGUUUCGUAAUCGCUGACGUCCACCCAGCGCCCCCGACUGACAACGUGAUCCAGGUACGGCAAGAAGUAGCUGCUCUUCUGCUUCACCGAGGGUUACAUGUUCGGUCUGCCGAGCCAUGGAUUGAGGGCGUUGGACUGUUUGAGCUCAGAGAUGCGGCGGAAAGCUAUGCUGCGGUCCACAUGGUGCCGCAGGAAGUUGCUCAUAACUCUAUGGUGCGCUUCCUGCGACAUGAUCAGGGAGUUGGUUUCCGCGGGCAAGAGGGUUUUCGCCAUGGCUGCCUCAUGAUUCUGGGGGUCCCCCUCGACUUCCGCAACACUGAAGAUCUGAGGGCUGCUGUCAACACCUUCGGCGAGUUCCACCAUUGGGUCAGUGAUGAUCCUCAUUUAUUUCGUUCCAUCAUGUUUGCUUCGUUCCCAGAUGACCGACUGGUCCCUCGCAGUAUCAACUUCUCUGAAUAUGUUGCUUGGGGGGCCAAGGUUUCCUGGUCUGCACCGGUAUAUAUCCUGGGGGCGGCGGCUGCCGAAAUACUGCCUAAUGACGAGGAUCCCAUGCCCCUCAAUGGCAAUCCUCACCCGCUCCCUGGUCAUCUUGUCCACGACAAUCUGCAAUUUGCUCUGCCUCCGUACCCUGCGCUGGGUUGGAAUGCGGUGCCACUAGCACCUGAAGAUCCAGUGGUUCCUGCUGUUGAUGCCGGUGGUUGGGGUCAGUCGCCGACAGCCGCUGAUGAAGGAGGAUGGGAACCUGAAGCGGCCCCGGAGGCACCUGUUGCUGAUCCUGUUCAGGAUCAAGAGUCCAUGGUGAUUGAUCAACCGAGUCCUUCCUCUUCGGACUUGGUUCAUGAGCUUGUGGACCUCGACUCUCAGCCGCAGGGUCACAUGAAGGCGGAACCUGCUGAUGAAGCACCACCGGCCCCUGGCCUGGAGGUGGUUGUGGCCAACCCUGUUGCCCCGGAUGCUGGCUUGGUACCGGCUGCCCAGGGUCAUGAUGCUGAGCCGGAGGAGGAGGUGCCUGCCAUGGAGGAGGCACAAGAGGACAAUCCUCUCGCAAUUGUCCUAUGCAAACCCCCUCACAUUCAAACUGACAACCUCUUUGUUUGGGAUGCAAGGGUUUUCUACGGGCCUCCUCUGCCGCCAAUUAUAUCCUGGGCGCGCACUUUUGAUGCUCUCAUGGGAGCUGCGACUUCUAUGCAUGUGCCUCGCCAACUGCAGAUGCCAAUUCUGGAGCCCAUUAUGAUCCCCAAGCGAUCAUGGUCGGCAGCUUUUGAUCGUGAUGCUCCAGCGCUACCAUCACUAGAGCCUGCUGGCGACGCUCUCUCAGUGGAGGAGGUAAUCCCUCUCAGUCCGUCUUCAUCUGCGGAGGACUUCACUUUUCAUUCUCCUGCCCCAACGAAGAAAGGGACCCGCAAGAAGGCCACUCCUGUCGUCGACUCCUCUGUCCGUCGAUGUACUCGCGGCUCCAUCAGGCGCGAUGGCUUCAAACCCAUCCUGCAGGAGCUGCUAGCGUAUGUCCCCAAGAAGAGGAAGCCCAAGGCCAAGCCAAUGCCCUCCCCAUCGCAGGAGACUGAUGAUGUGCAAGUACCUCCUGCCACUCCUAUUCCGGUGAUUCAGGAGGUUGGGCAGUCACUAGGCAUUGCCCCUGAGAAGCUUAUGGUGGAUCGACUUAUGGAAGAUCCUGCUGAUUCCGCGCCAUCGUCUGCUGAUGUUUAAUUCACCUAUGUUAAUUUGUUACUAUACUAGCUACAUGUACUGCGAGACUUCUGCAUGCUCUGUCUUUUGGUUAUCUGAACCUUGGUCGCAACGGCUAUUACAUAGCCCUACUUUUGCUCUAUAUAUAUUGUGCAAUGGAUAGUCGUUCUCCGAGAAGUUGGCGUGUGCUUUGUUGGAAUGUGCGUGGCCUAAAUUCGGACCAUAGGCAACGUGUGGUCCGUAACAAGAUUGAUGAGAGCCUAGCUGUUGUGGUGUGCUUGCAGGAAACCAAAAUGCAGUCAGUUGAGUUUUGUAUAGUCAAAUGUUCUUGUCCCAAACGAUUUGAUCAGUUCGCCAACUCUCCCUCCAGGGGCGCAUCAGGGUGGCUUAUCACCCUUUGGAACUCCUUCAUUCUUACUGGUCAGUUAGUUGAAUGCACUCCCAAUGGUUUGAUCAUCUCUUUUACCUCAAAUCACACUGGUGAAUCCUGGACUUUAGUGAAUAUCUAUGGUCCUUGUCAAGGUGAGGCCAGAGAUCUUUUUGUUAGCUGGCUAUAUAAUCUCCAUAUACCCACUGGGCUAAUUGGUUGCUUCUUGGAGAUUUUAAUUUCAUUAGAUCCCCUGAUAACAGAAACCUUCCUGGGGCUGAUGUAAAUGACAUGUUCAUCUUCGAUGAAAUUAUUGGGCAUCUGGGAUUGCUGGAACUUCCCAUUAAGGGCAGAUCUUUCACUUGGUCCAAUAUGCAAGAUUCCCCUCUUCUGGAGCAGCUUGACUGGUUUUUCACAUCAGCCAACUGGAUCUCCUCAUAUCCUCUUACACAAGUGUUACCCCUUGCCAAGACAGCUUCUGACCAUGUUCCUUGUGUGGUCACUGUCAACACUUCCAUCCCUAAGUGCAAUCUAUUCCAUUUUGAAAACUACUGGGUUGAAAUGGAGGGUUUCAUGGAAUGUGUUCAGCAAUCCUGGCUCAUUCCUUCAAGGAAAACCCACAUUACUGUUGUCAUUAUGGAUAAGAUGAAACAUCUUAGGCAGGCUCUGAAAAAGUGGCACAGAAAUCUAUCUCAGUUAAAAACUUUCAUCUCCAGAUGUAAUCAAGUUGUGUUGUGUUUGGAUGAGCUUGAGGAGUUGAGGUCACUUUUCAGACCAGAGGCUAACUUCAGAAAAAUUGUUAAAUUACAUUUGGAGCAUCUUUUGCAUCUACAGUGUUUAUACUGGAAAAAGAGAGCCACUAUCAGAUUUGUUAAAGUUGGUGAGGAAAACACCAAAUUCUUCCAUGCUAUGGCUACUGAGAGAUAUAGGAGGAAUUACAUUGCAUCUCUCAAGUUAAAUGAUGGUUCCCUCAUAUCUGAUCAUGAUCAAAUUGCUGCAUGCUUCUGUGCAUCUUUUCAGGCUAAAAUGGGAACUUCUCGUGGCAUUAACAUGGCAUUUGAUUUACCAUCCAUGCUUCAUAAGGUGGAGGGCCUAGAUAUUCUCACUGAAGCUUUUUCUAUGUCUGAAAUGGACAAGACUGUUUAAGAAAUGCCCAUUGACAAAGCUCCAGGUCCUGAUGGGUUCAAUGGUCUUUUUCUUCAAGAAAUGCUGGCACAUUAUUUCCCCUGAGUUUUAUCAACUUGCUGCUACUUUCCAUGCUGGCCAUGCUCAACUUGAGAACCUGAACUCAUCUUAUAUUACUCUGAUUCCCAAGAAGAGAUCACCUGAACAUGUGGGAGAUUACAGACCUAUAUCACUUAUUGGGAUGGGUCUCAAAUUUCUGUCCAAAAUGAUUGCUAACAGGCUACAGCUGCAGAUUGUGAAGUGUCUUCACAAGAAUCAGUAUGGUUUUAUCAAGUCUAGGACCAUUCAGGAUUGUGUUGGAUGGACUCUGGAGUACCUGCACCAAUUCCAUCAAUCCAAGAAACCUAUAGUCAUUCUCAAGCUGGAUUUUGAAAAGGCAUUUGACUCUGUGGAACAUGAGUUUAUUUUUCAGAUUCUCAAGCACAAAGGCUUCAAUGACAGAUGGAUACUUUGGGUCCAGCAGCUACUAACUUCUGGCUCAUCUUCAGUCCUGAUCAAUGGUGUGCCUGGCAAGAAGUUUAUGUGCAAGAAAGGUGUCAGGCAGGGAGAUCCCAUGUCCCCACUGCUUUUUGCCAUUGCUGCUGAUUUUUUACAGACUCUGGUUAAGCAACUGCUGGUGGAGGGUCUGAUUCAGCUGCCCAUACCUUGUCAUGAUAAGGAUUUCCCCAUAUUGCAAUAUGCUGAUGAUACACUUAUCAUCCUACCUGCUGAUAAACCCCAGUUGUUGCAGUUCAAGAAAAUGCUCCUACUUUUCUCCCAGUCCAGUGGAUUACAGGUGAAUUAUCACAAAUCUGCCCUUCUACCUGUUAACACUCCUCCACAGCAACUCCAGGAUCUGGCUGACUCCCUUGGCUGCAAAGUGGGAUCUUUGCCCUUCACAUACCUUGGCCUUCCAGUUGGGACAACUAAACCAAGAAUCAUUGAUCUCAUGCCACUGGUUGAUAACAUGGAAAGAAGACUUAGUGCUAGUUCAUCUUUUCUAGCUCAGGGGGGAAGGCUACAGUAUUUAAACUCAACACUGUCUUCUGUGCCUAUCUUCUUUCUAUGCAAUCUGGAUAUCCCACCAGGCAUACUGAAGCAGCUUGAAAGAAUUCAAAGGCAAUGUCUAUGGAGAAGAAAUGGGCAAGAUCAUGCACCCCCUCUUGGUGCCUGGCAUCUGGUGUGCAGACCUAAAAAUAAAGGGGGGUUAGGAAUUAUUAACCUAGCAAUCCAGAAUGAAGUACUCCUUCUCAAGCAUGUUGAUAAAUUUCUAAAUCUUGCUGAUAUCCCAUGGGUUCACUUGAUUUGGAACACUUACUAUCAUGACACUGUACCUCAGGGAACUGCCCUUUGUGGUUCUUUUUGGUGGAAGGAUAUCUGUAAACGGCUGGACGAAUUCAGAUCAGUUACAUAUGUUCAGCCUAACAAGGGUGAUUCCUUCCUGUUUUGGUCUGACUCCUGGUUGGUUGGAAACUCCAUUAGGCCACUAGCAGCCAAAUUCCAAAGACUGUUUUCUUUUGUGGCUGAUCCUUUCUGCAUAGCGCAAGAGGUCUUUACAGCCUUUUCUGAUGACAGCAUGCUCUCUAUGUUCCACUUGCCACUGUCUGCUCAAGCUUACCAGGAGCUGCUUUCAGUUCAAUCUUUGCUUCAAGACCUGGAUCUUGAUCAUCAGGCCUCUGACAAAUGGGUAUGGGGAAAAGAUGCUAAGGCAUACACAGCCAAGAGAUACUAUGCUCACAUUCACAGCAGUAUUACACCAAACCCUUUACUCAACUGGAUCUGGAAAAGUUGUUGUACCAUGAGGAUUAAGAUGUUUGCCUGGAUGCUCAUCAUGGACAGGCUUAACACUCAAGACAUGCUUGAACGGCGACACUAGAAUGUUUCUGACUCCAAUCUCUGUGUUCUAUGUCAUGCUCGAGUCAAGGAAGACAGAGAUCACUUAUUCUUCACCUGUCUUUUCAGUACCAGGGUCUGGAAUUACCUGCAGAUCACAUGGCAGGGUCCAUCCAUGUGGAGUGCUACUGUUGCUGCUGAAAGAGACUUCCAUAACCUCUUCUUUGCUGAGGUGGUCUGCACUACAUGCUGGAACAUCUGGACUAUCAGAAAUGCAAAGGUCUUCAACCAGGUGCAACCAAAGUUCAGAAAAUGGAGAUCUGGCUUCAUUCAUGACAUUUCCAUGUUAGCUCAUAGAAUUAAGCCUAGUUUCAGGGAUGAUCUCCUUAAAUGGGUUUCCUUUUUGCCUCCUUGAGGUUUGUAGCCUUAGCUCCUCCCCCCUUUGUACAUUCUAAUUUCUUCUUGUACAUACUGCUCUUAUAUAUGGGAAUAAAAGAAAAAAGGCUGUGGGGGGUUUUCCNNNNNNNNNNNNNNNNNNNNNNNNNNNNNNNNNNNNNNNNNNNNNNNNNNNNNNNNNNNNNNNNNNNNNNNNNNNNNNNNNNNNNNNNNNNNNNNNNNNNNNNNNNNNNNNNNNNNNNNNNNNNNNNNNNNNNNNNNNNNNNNNNNNNNNNNNNNNNNNNNNNNNNNNNNNNNNNNNNNNNNNNNNNNNNNNNNNNNNNNNNNNNNNNNNNNNNNNNNNNNNGACGUUCCGAGAACUUUCGUUUCUGCACAAAAACAACACCAAGGAAAUUCUGCUGAAAACAACGUCAGUCCAGGUUAGUUCCAUUCAAAUCAUGCAAAUUAGAGUCCAAAACAAGGGCAAAAGAGUUUGGAAAAGUAGAUACGAUGGAGAUGUAUCACAUGGCUGAAUCAGCUGGCACCUUCAAGCAUAUAUUGUUGGGCACAUCUGGCUCAAGUGUUCGACAAGACCUUUGAGGGCACUUGCAAGCAUCCUGCUGGCCUUUCUGAGUUACAACAGUGCGUGCAGAAGCCGAGUGAAUCCUUGCACGAUUACAUCCAGCGCUGGACCACUCUUCACCACACAGUGGAGAAUGUUACCGAGCACCAAGCAGUCUGCGCCAUCAAGGCAGGUGUCAGGUAUCGAGAGCUAUAUCUGAAGUUUGGUCACUCGGGUGUAAUGUCAAUGAGUAAAAUGAUAGAGAUAGCCACCCAUUAUGCAAACAGGGAAGAAGAAGACUGCCUCCGUAGCGGCAAGGGUAAAGCAGUCGACAACAUUGACGCUAAUUCCAAUCGGAAGCAGAAGCGGCAGGUUGACGCUAAUGCAACCCCAGCAGAAGCGGCCGCUCUGGCGGCAGGAAAAUUUAAGGGAAAGUCCAAGGCACGAUCCCCCCCCCCCAAGAAGUCCAAGAUGCAGUCAGAUGUUUUGGAUCAGCCAUGUGUUCUUCACACGAAGAAAGAUGAUGAAGGAAACCUGAUAUUGCCAAAGCAUACCACUCGACAGUGCCGGUUGUUGGUCCAAGAGUUCAAGGACCAGUUGGGUGGAAAAUAACUUGAAGAAGAAGAUAAUGUGGAGAAGGAUGACUUCCCCAAGGUCAAUGCAACUCUGAUUAUUUUUGCUGACGUAGAGAGCAAACGUCGACUGAAAAUCAUCAACACGGAGGUCAACAUCGUAGUACCUACAACCCAACAUACCUGAAGUGGUCGCAAACUCCCAUCACAUUUGAUCAGUCGGACCAUCGAGUUUUUGUUCCAACUCCAGGUCGCUAGGCUCUGGUGGUCGACCCAGUUGUCGAAGGUGUUCGGCCUCGCAAAGUCUUGAUGGGUCGAGGGAGUGGACUCAAUAUCCUAUAUGCAGGAACUCUCAAGGGGAUGGGCAUUCCGAUGUCUCAACUUAGCGAGAGCUCCAUGUCUUUUCGUGGAGUUAUCCCAGGGAAGAAGGCAAAGUCACUCGGCCAAAUCGGGCUAGAUGUUCUUUUCGGCUAUGACAGAAAUUUCCGCAAAGAGAAGCUGACGUUUGAGGUGGUGGACUUAUAGAGUGCAUACCAUGCUAUUCUAGGUCGUCCUUCUUAUACAUGUUUCAUGGCGUGACAAUUUUAUGUUUACUUGAAGAUGAAGAUGCCAGACCCUAAAGGAGUCAUCACUGUUUCCGGCAAUCGGCAGAGAGUUGAAGAGUGUUUGCAACAAGGUUCAAAGAUUGCAGAUUAGCAGAUGUUUGCGGGAAAGUUGGAUGAGUACCGGAGGGUUGCCGACCCAGCUGACCUAAUGCGCUCUAAGAAGCCUGCUUUUGAGUCCGCUUUUGAGUCGGCAGGGGAGGUCAAGCCAGUGAACAUCCAUCCGACUGAUCCCAAUGCAGCUCCAACCACCAUAUCCAUGACACUGGACAGCAAAUAGGAAACCGAGCUCACCCAGUUCCUCCAUGAGAACUGGGACAUCUUUGCAUGGAAGCUUGCUGACAUGCCGGGUGUACCAAGGGAGCUGGCUGAGCACCAUUUGCGAGUGGAUCCAAAGGCGAAGCCGGUCAGGGAGCGCAGGCGAAGAUCUACAUCAGAGAAGAGGAAAGCAAUCGGCGAGGAGGUGGCGCGACUCUUGUAGGCCAAAUUCAUUCGCGAUAUUUACCACUCCGAGUGGCACUCGAAUGUUGUCAUGGUACCCAAGAAGGACAAAUACCUUCGCAUGUGUAUCAACUUCAAAAACGUUAAUAAGGCCUGUCCAUAAGACCACUUCCCGCUGCCCUGCAUUGAUCAUAUUGCCGAUUCAACUGCGGGGUGCGAGCGUUUGUCUUUUAUGGAUGCUUACUAAUGUUACCAUCACAUCUAUCUGUUUGGCCCAGCUGAAAUAAAAACAGCCUUGAUCACCCUUUCGGGUGUUUCUGUUACAUCACUAUGCCUUUCGGUCUGAAGAAUGCGGGUGCAACCUUCAUGCGCAUGAUCCAGAAGUGUUUGCUCGAACAGAUCAGUCGGAAUGUUGAAGCGUAUAUGGAUGAUAUUGUUGUCAAGUCACACAAAGGUUCUGUCGUGGUUUUCUCACGGCAGAUGUCCUAGUGAAAGGACUUAAUGAUGGAGCCAUCGCACCUUGGUGGCGACUCAAAGGGGUUGAGUGGAAGCGGGACUCAGAUUUACCCAGGUUCGGUCCCUCGUGAGGAGGUAAAAGCCUAUGUCCUGCUUUGUGUUGUAUUGAUGAGGUUUCGGUUACAAGGAGGGCGUAACUCGCCUGACCUAGCUCUCGAUGAUUUCUGACCUCCCUCUCCUUUCCAGGGACUCGCCUUUAUAUACAGGUCGAAGCCCUGGGGUUUACCAGAGUCCAUGCCUUAAUACAAAGCGUGAUUCUUUCUAUCUCUAAGUCGUCGUGCUUUCCAAGACUGGAAACCUCCUCGACGACUUAUCCUCUACGUAGAUAUGGAACCGCCAUCCAGCUCCUGGGCCUUCUGGGCCAAAGCUUGCUUCGCCAAAGGAUGAGUCGCCCACUUAGUGACCCGGCCCAACUAGGGCGGGUCACACCGCAGGUAAUAUCCCCAACAUUAGGCCCCAGAUUGACUUGAACCUAUUCAUGCCAUUAAACUUUUAUCCAGUUUAGGAGCGACUCAUUCCACUCCUUUCAUGGAUCUUACGCUUAAGUCGCCAUUCCUCAUGAAAACACCUAAGCUGCCGAACCGUUUCCGAUGACAUCACCUUAUCCCUUUAAUUUCGGAAGGCGAUGACGCAAUGUCCAACGGAUCCCGCGGCACAAAUACCCCGAAAAUCUUGGCGCCAUAAUUGCAAAUCUUUAACUUGUCUUUUCGGUUCCCCCGCGAGGCACCUCGAUUCCAGCACCCGACCCAUUAAAUAGGCUCAGGAAAGGGAGUACUCAUUUCGUCUGUCCCUUCUUCCUCGCGACCACGCGAAGAACUCCGUCGCCGCCCGAGGAGCUCCGUCGCCGCCCGAAGAACUCCGUCACUGGCCGUCGCGUCCGACAGAUCUCCGAACCAAACGAGGACGCCAUCCUUACCGCGGGUCCCCCACAGUUGCUUUUGAACGCCAUUAAUAGGUUAGUCCUUCGCCAUUAUAAACAGAUCUCAACUCCUCGGUGUUCGUCAUUCGCUGCUUCUUAGAACUCCUCGAACGCCUCUUUGCAUGCCAAUUGAUUCAUAGCGGUAAUAACCAUGAUAGUACUGGCCGUAUUCCCAGUCAAUCAGAUCUUGUUUGAAGAACCAAGAAGAUUUCGGUCAAAUCACCCUUGCCGUAGUUACUUUUAGCCAUGGCCUGUUUCACCUUAUCCACGCCUUCUUUCCGUUCAUUUUAACUUUGUUCGUAGAUCUAUAUCUCUGUGCUUGCCGCGUAGAAACUUGUUUGUAGAUCCACACUUCACCGCUUGUCGUGUAGAAAUUUAUUUGCAGUUCCACACCUCACUGCUUGCCAUUGAAUGCCCUGGGAUACCUCCUUUGGGUAACAAGAAAUUCUUAAAUCGCCCUCGUGCCCAAACCUGGUCCCUUAUUGGCGAGUUAAUAGAUUCUCUGAGCCACUCGACAAGCAUUUUGGCGGGUUAACUUACCCAUGACCUUUUCCUCUGUAGCUAUGGGUACCGUCUUCAAGGCCGACUGGCUCCCGACCAAAAUCGACGACACCUUCCUCGAGCAGUGCGUAAAGACAGGGAACCUUGACCCGAAGGAAGUCAUUGGAUGGCGAUCUGGACUAGGCGACGAAAUUCCCAACCCGGCCGAAGAGGAAAUACUUGUUUUUGCUGACAACCUCGAACGAGGAUUUAAGCCGCCAGGGUCAAAGUUCCUCAGAGAUGCUAUGUUUUUCAUGAACGUCCGCCUCAAAGACCAGGGCCCCAAAUCGAUCAGCAACAUGUGCCAAUUACAGGUAUUCUGUGAAGCUUACCUACGAAUGGAACCGUCAGUCACUUUAUUUUGGUACUUCUUCCACCUGAAUCGCCAGACCGAGUUCUCCAAUGGCCCUNNNNNNNNNNNNNNNNNNNNNNNNNNNNNNNNNNNNNNNNNNNNNNNNNNNNNNNNNNNNNNNNNNNNNNNNNNNNNNNNNNNNNNNNNNNNNNNNNNNNNNNNNNNNNNNNNNNNNNNNNNNNNNNNNNNNNNNNNNNNNNNNNNNNNNNNNGUUCUCCAAUGGCCCUAGCUUAGAACUUGGAGGGGUUAAUGUUCAACGACGCAGGGACAUUCCAUUCCCAUCACUCGCCAUGCCCAGUAACCCCAAAGGCUGGGCCGAGUCUUGGUUUUAUUGCCGGGAAACUUCUCCUCCGGGUGAAAACAAAAUCCUAGGCUACAUGAAGGAGCGUCUGCCCACAAACUUCUAACUUCUGGACAAGCUCACCGAAGAAGAUGAAUCGGAUUUCAUUCCAGUGAUAUCCGAGUUAGGAUCUUUAACAAACAAUGGUCUUACUGGAGUUGAUCUGAUCUGCUGCUGAGUGGAAUGGCGCGUCCUUCCCUUGAGUCGCCGAGACGGCUUGAUGUGCGAGUUUGAUGGUACUUUGAACCAUCCCCAAUUCUACUUCCACACAGCACUCACAGAGGAAGACAUUAUGAGCCUCAUCAAGAAGCAAACCGGUGAGCCUUUGGCCAAGUGUAGCCAAAUAGGGCUUAGGCCAUUUUGCAAGAUUAACCCGGCUCCUAAGGUAAAUAAUUUGACCCACCCUUGGUUCANNNNNNNNNNNNNNNNNNNNNNNNNNNNNNNNNNNNNNNNNNNNNNNNNNNNNNNNNNNNNNNNNNNNNNNNNNNNNNNNNNNNNNNNNNNNNNNNNNNNNNNNNNNNNNNNNNNNNNNNNNNNNNNNNNNNNNNNNNNNNNNNNNNNNNNNNNNNNNNNNNNNNNUUCCGACUUACUCGUAUUCUGACUUGCAUAAUGAAAAUUCCACCUCAGAAGGGCGACCGAUUCUGGUCACAAAGGCCGAAGAAGAUUGCCCUGAAGCAAACCAAACCGCCUCCAAAAAACAAGUCCAAGGGUAAAAACCAAACCGUUGUUGCCGAAUCGUCGGAUGUGGAUGAAUCCCAAGUCGGCGAAGCGUCUUCAGAGGUAAAAUGUUAUCCUUUUUGUCUUGACGCCCUUUUACUCUAAUUUGUGCUUAUAUCUCUGCAUUUCCAUGUAUAGAAUGAUGAUAACGAAAGCCAGGAUGACGCCGUAGAGGUAAUUUCCAUUUCUUCCGACUCAACUUCUCCUUCGCCUAAGCCGGCCAGGCGAGUUUGUGGGAAAGUUCCCAUGUCUCACCCGAAUGCUUGUCUGGACCCUAAUUUCCUCUUGAAGAAGGCGCAACACACUUCCUUUCGGAAAACUUGAAGACACUCAGUGGAUUUGAUGUCCGUGUUACCAGUAAAAACCCCUACCAAGAAACGGUGAAAUGAGGUACCCUCUAUCAAUUUCUACCUUCGUUUUCUUUUGGAUCAAACUUGUAACUCGCUCAUAUUUUGAGAUAUUACUUUUGCAGACUUCUCCCCCUUCAUCGGGCGACUCAGUGAUGUCGGCCCUUCCGCCAAUGAUUCACAUACAAGGGUAAAUCCUUAUAAUACUUAUGUCUUUCCUGAUGAUAAUGAUGCUUGCUUUAAACAUGACCCUCUUUUUCUUAGAGCGCAAGCAAAGAAGAGGAAAACCGGCGGCUCAACUUCCACUCAUGCGCCAGAGCUUAAAGAAGAUCCAGCACCGGCUCGUGUUGACCCGGCAAAAGAUAUACCUGAUGACCGAAUUGACCUUCCAAGUUCUCCCAAGAAAGGCAUGAAAACAACCAACCCGCCAAGUCCGUUGAAGGUGGCCGAAGAUCCUGAUAUUGUGGUCAUUACUGGUACUGGCUUCUCUAAGCCGGCUUCGGCAAUCUUAUCGAAGCAUGUAUCAACAUUGUCCCAUCCUUCCACCAUACAUGAGAUCCCCAAGGCCAAACUUCCUCAAUAUGAAAAACUAGAGUUUGAUGAACUCUGCUUCGGCUUCGCAAAUCGCGUGGAAACAAGUUAUGAAAUGGAGAAGAACCUGCUGCAUAUGAUGAAGAAUAAACAUGAGGUACGCCUUAAUGCAUACCCUCCUCAUUAGCCCCGAAGGGCCGGGUCAUCUUUUGAAUGAUGAGCCGGGUCUUGAUGUAGAAAAAAUCUUCGACCUGUAACCCCCAAGGGCCGGGUCAUCUUUUGAAAGAUGAGUCGGGUCUUGAUGUAGAAAAAAUCUUUCGACCUGUAACCCCCAAGGGCCGGGUCAUGUUUUGAAAGAUGAGCUGGGUCUUGAUGUAGAAAAAAUCUUUCGACCUGUAACACCCAAGGGUCGGGUCAUCUUUUGAAAGAUGAGCCGGGUCUUGACUUAGAAAAAAUCUUUCGACCUAUAACCCCCAAGGGCCGGGUCAUCUUAUUGAAAGAUGAGACGGGUCUUGCUCGUGGUAUAAUUUUGUAUGUUUAAAAAAUUAUACGUUAGCCCCCAAGUGUCAGGGAUGUUGCUUGCAACAAUUCUGUUACUUGUCCCUCCCAAAUAUGUUGACAGGAAUCUAUGGCCCAAGCCGAGUCGAUGUUGGGCGACUUAAAGAAAAGUUUAGCCGACCAGCAAGAAGCUCGGGCUCAAGCAGAAGAAAAAUACCAGGCGAUCUUAGCUGAUAUGGAAAAGCUGAAAGCCGCCAACAAAAAAUCUCAAGCUGAUCAAGCCACCGCGCUAAAGCGAGCUGAAACGGCUGAAACAAAACUAGGAGCCGUGCAACAAGAGCUGGCCGGUUUAAAGAAACAUAUUUCCAGCAUGACACAGGCCAUCUUCGGUAAGAAGGAAUUCUUUGUUUCGUAUCUCUGAAAGAAAAUAUUAUUGUGAAAAAAACAAAGUACUAACUAUCAUUGUCUUUCUCACGCAGGCCCGAGAGCUGCCAACCUUCAUGACGACUGCAUCUUGAAGUUAAAGGCGAUUUACACACUGACUGAGCAGUUGUAUACUGGGAGCAUGCUGACCAUGAAGGCAGUGAUAGGCACCAAGGAACCAAUCACAUCAAUCAAAAAGAUGCUUGGCUGCUUAUCCACCCUUCCGCCUCAGAUAGGUGAGCUAACCCGAUCAGUCGCCCGGAAGGGGGUGCUGACUACCUUGAGUCGGUGUUUGGCGUAUGCUCCAGAACUGAAGCCCGAAGAGUUAGCAGUAGGCUUCCCACAGCUCAAGGAUGACGAGACGGAGUUUACUCAAGAUGAUUAUCAUCGCGUCAUCAAGGAAUCACGCUUGGCGGCGACUCAGCUAGCAGCAAGCUUGGAUUUAUCAAAGUAUCAAGCCGCUUAUGAUGACAAAAACAAGAAAGUAAACCCGCCUGCAUUUGUGACAACCAGCUUAACUCCUCGUCGGCCCAAGAACCCUUUUGAUUUGGAGUCGAAUCUCUCGACAUUCUUGAACGAUGAAGACGAAUUUGCCGCUCUAUCCAAGUGUAAUUGGGUACUGGGCGAUUUACAAAUUCAAGUCGGCCAGAGCUCGGGGAAAGCUGACUCGGAGGCAUGAGCAGAAUAGACCCUACCGAUUUGGCCAUCUGAGCCAUGUAAUAGGUCAUUGUAGAAAACAAUCCUUUGCUUAUGUCUGUUGUGGAACUCUUUUGUGACCUUUGAAAAAACCUUGUGCCGCCCUUGGGGUGCCAUGAUGCUUGACCCGCCAUGUCAGUAAAGAUUCGAUCACCAACCUGUUUGGCUAGCAAAAGCAUAUAUCAAACCAUCUCAAUGAGUAAUGGAUGAUGAUAAAUAAUAACCGACUCAAGGUGUCUUGGCGAAUGGUAUGAAGAAAACCGGCUCAACGAGACACGAUGAGUCUCAAAAAUCUAUGAAACCUUGUGGAAGUGCCAGGAAGGUGAUACUAAGAAUUUCGUCCGCUCGUUCAAGUUGCGACAGGAUAGGACGAGUUAGAAAAACUCAAGUGCUACGCAAGGGAGACUUUUUGUAUAAAAAAGCUCAAGUAUUUAGACCGGCUGAUCAGGCGCGAGUCAAGCUUUGGUGAAGUAGGUUCAAUGAACCAAUGGUUUCUCUAUUUUCCAUGUGGGGCGCUAGCCGGUACCAUGCAUGUUUUAACCAAGGUGAGUUCAGGGUCCAAAUAGCGGAUUGACUCGCCAAGAGUUCAUGGGUCCAUAUGGCGAUUUGGCCAACACACAGUCCAGUAUAACCAUUUGUAGUGCGGUAAUUUUUCACAAGCCAAAUGGGUAGUUAGGCUGAUCUCAGUGAGAGGAAACCCCCAUGUGACCUAUGAUUAGGGGAAAGACCAGUCAUAGUAUUGUAGAAGCGUAUACGCUCUUACCACAAAACCACUUGGGAGCUGAUAGCCCCCAAGUAAGCCGGCCUAAUCCUCAGAAUCAUAUAAGGCGCCUAUGUUUGAAUCGUGCGCUUGUAGCAACUUGAUCCUCUUUGGCUUAUCGAUACCCGUGUUGUAAUAUGUGCAGCAUGGCGACUUAUGCUCUCUAGUAUUGAUAGCCUCCAUGCUUGGGCGACUUGUCGAAGAACAAUAAAGAUCCAUGCUUUCAAGAAGAUGAAGUGGCAGGAAAACCCAAAAUUCGUGGGUAUCGACUUUAUUACUUUAUAUAAACGAAGGACUUACAAUUUCCAAAGAUGGGAGAGAAACGAAAAAGGGGAGCCAAUAGCUCAAGUGUAGUAAGGCCGCAGAUGGGCUAUGUUCCAGGGGCGAGUUGACUCAGCCUCUGUGGUUGGCCGAUCAGGCCGAAGAUCCACCAAAUAGUAUGACCCGUUGCGAAGAUUUUUGCUGACGACAAACGGUCCUUCCCAUGGAAAGUGACAACUUAUGUAUGCCAGUGCAAUCUUGGAUCAACCGGAGCACUAAGUCUCCCUCCUGAAAAGCUCGCCUAUUGACCUCGCGGCUAUGAUAACGCCGCAAGUCUUGCUGAUAGAUAGCCGAUCGGGAGGCAACCAAAUCGCGUGCUUACUCCAAAGCAUCCAAAGAAUCUUGAUGUGCCAACUCAUUAUCUUGCUCCACAUAAGCGGCGACUCAGGGAGAGUCAUGCCUAACGUCAUUGGGAAGAAUGGCUUCUGCUCCGUACACCAAGAAGACAGGAGUAAAAACCGUAGAACGAUUCAGGGUGGUUCAAAUGCUCCAUAAUACCGAAGGCAACUCCUCAACCCAACACCCUGGGGUGCGUUCCAGGGGAACCAUAAGUCGGGGUUUGAUUCCCCGCAGCACUUCCUGACUCUCCCGUUCUGCCUGCCAUUAGAUUGUGGAUGAGCAACCGCAGACACAUCAAGCCGGAUAUGCUCCCGGUAGCAAAACUCCUACAUUGCCCCUUGUGAUAAGUCGGUACCGUUAUCAGUGAUAAUGUUGUGUGGGUAUCCAAACCGGAAUAUCAACUUUUUCAAGAAUUUGACGGCCGUUUCCGCGUCACAGCUGCCAACAGGCUCUGUUUCGAUCCACUUGGUGAAUUUAUCGACCGCCACCAGUAGAUGAGUCUUUUUAUUGGAUGGCAUCUUAAAGGGACCAACCAUAUGGCGAUUUGACGAUGGGUCCGGUCGAGGACUUCGGGAUCCAUCGCCAGCGACAGAUCUCCGAGGCGGCCUUCAUGCAGGGACUGGAUUGAAUAUGUGUCGGCCAUGGAUGACUCGUCGUCAGAGUUGACUGGUGUGGCCUCCCGAGUCGCCGACCACUCUGGCUCAUCAGAUCCCUACGUGAAGCCGACGAAGACUGGGCGCGUCAGUCUUUGUGGCGCGACGGGACGGACAUACCUCGCCGGCUCGACGGUGUCGGUGAAGAUGUCCGGCUCAGGCAUGGGUGCUCCGACCAUGCCGAUGAAGAUGUUGACCUUGCCGAAGGGGACUCUGUAGCCGGAUUCGAUCGAAUCGGCCCCGGGUCUUGAUACCUCUCCAUCGUAUCUACUUUUUGAAACUCUUUUGCCCUUGUUUUGGACUCUAAUUUGCAUGAUUUGAAUGGAACUAACCCGGACUGACGCUGUUUUCAGCAGAAUUGUCAUGGUGUUGUUUUUGUGCAGAAAUGAAAGUUCUCGGAACGUCCUGAAAAUUUAUGGAGAAUGUUUUUGGAAAAUAUGAAAAAUACUUGCGCAAAGAUCCACGGGAGGGGAUGGGCCAGUGGGCCACAAGCCUUGUUGCCGCGGCCACCCCCCCUGGCCGCGGCAAGCAAGCUUGUGGGGCCCACGUGGCUCUGCCGCCCCCAACUCCAGCUCUAUAAAUUCACUUUCGCCUAGAAAAAAAUCAGAAGAGAAGAUUUCGUCGCGUUUGCGAUACGGAGGCGCCGCCACAUCCUGUUUUUCAUCUGGAGGGCAGAUCUGGAGUCCGUUUUGGGCUCCGAAGAGGGGAAAUCGUCGCCAUCGUCAUCAUCAACCUUCUUCCCUCUCCAAUUCUAUGAAGCUCUUCAUCGUUCGUGAGUAAUCUAUUCGUAGGCUUGCUGGGCGGUGAUGAGUAGGUUGAGAUCUAUCAUGUAAUCGAGUUAGUUUUGACGGGGAUUUAUCCCUAGUAUCCACUAUGUUCUGAGAUUGAUGUUGCUACUACUUUGCCAUGCUUAAUGGUUGUCACUAGGGCCCGAGUGCCAUGAUUUCAGAUCUGACAUUAUUAUGUUGUCACCAAUAUAUGUGUGUUUUAGAUCUGAUCUAGAAAGUUGUAGUUACCUACUAUGUGUUAUGACCCAACAACCCCGGAGUGACAAUAACCGGAACCACUCCCUGUGAUGACCAUACUUUGAGGAGUUCAUGUGUUCACCAAGUGCUAAUGCGUUGUUCUGGUUCAUUAUUAAAAGGAGAACCUUAAUAUCAUGUAGUAUCCUUUUGGACUCCGCUGCCACGGGAGGGAUGGACAAUAGAUGUCAUGCAAGUUCUUUUCCCUAAGCACGUAUGACUACACUCGGAAUGCAUGCCUACAUCACAUUGACGAACGGGAGCUAGCCACAUAUCUCUCCAUGUUAUAACUGUUGCAUGAUGAAUAUCAUCCAAACGAAUCACCGACCCAUUGCCUACGAGUUUGUCCCACUGCUGCUGUUACUUGUUUUGCUCUGCUGCUGUUACUACUAUCGCUUGCUACUGCUACUGCUGCUACUUGCUACUGUUGCUACUUUCUACUGCUGUCACUACUGCUGUUCCUUGCUAUUGCUGUUACUCGUUACACUGCUGCUACCAGCUACAAUUCUGGUUCGCUGGUGUUGACGGGAAAAGAUAAUUUCCGUCAACGGGCAACUUCUGGCGCCAUUGAUACGAGAGUUAGGAAUAGUCUGCCGUCAACAGAUCGUUUCUGACACCGUUGUUAUCAUCCUACUUUGUUGCUGAUACUUUGCUUGCAGAUACUAAUCUUUCAGGUGUGGUUGAAUCUGACACAUUCAACUGCUAAUACUCGAGAGUAUUCUCUCACCUCCUGACUGGCGUACCAACAAAUUUGGGUCGAAUACUUUACCUUUGAAAACUGCCGCGAACCCACGCGCUGGUGGGCCAUUACAAGUCAAUUGCUAAUUGUUGAGCAACUGGGAGCAGUUCUGGCUCUGUUGUCUCGAAGGCAUCAAGUGAGGGACUCGUCAACAACAUUCUUCUAGUGUCGUUGCCGGGGACUGCCCUUAGCAGGUCUCCACAGCGAGUUGUCGAUUUAGUACUUUCCGCGGCGGCUCCGGGUCAUGAGCCCAGCCGCGUAGCUCCCUCACCCUGGUAGGGCUCCCUUCGAGAACUCAACUCCACCGUGCGUAGGCCCCACGGUGGACGCCAACUGUCGUGGUUUUCUCACGGCACAUGUCCUAGUGGAAGGACUUAAUGAUGGAGCCAUCGCAACUUGGUGGAGACUUAAAGGGGUUGAGUGGAAGCGGGACUCGGAUUUACCCAGGUUCGGCCCCUCGUGAGGAGGUAAAAGCCUACGUCCUGCUUUGUGUUGUAUUGAUGACGUUUCGAUUACAAGGAGGGCGUAACUCGCCUGACCUAGCUCUCGAUGAUUUCUAACCUCCCUCUCCUUUCCACGGACUCGCCUUUAUAUACAGGUCGAGGCCCUACGGUUUACAAGAGUCCAUGCCUUAAUACGAACCGUGAUUCUUUCUAUCUCUAAGUCGCCGGGCUUUCCAAGACUAGAAACCUCCUCAACGACUUAUCCUCUAUGUAGAUUUGGAACCGCCAUCCAGCUCCUGGGCCUUUUAGGCCAAAGCUUGCUUCGCCAAAGGAUGAGUCGCCCACUUAGUGACCAGGCCCAACUAGGGCGGGUCACACCGCAGGUAAUAUCCCCAACAGGUUUCGACUUGCUGACUUACUUAGCAGGAACAUUUCCUAAUUUGAGGAAGUACGACAUCAAGUUAAAUCCAGCUAAGUGCACUUUCGGCGUUCCUGGUGGCAAGUUAUUCGGUUUUCUCGUUUCCGAACGAGGGAUCGACGUUAACCCCGAGAAGAUUGACGACAUCGUCCGAAUGCAGAGCCCUGUGCGAGUGCAUGACAUACAGAAACUUACAGGAUGUCUCACAGCAUUGAGUCGGUUUAUAUCUCGUCUCGGUGAGAACCACUCCUACUAUACACUGCAACCACCAAUCAAGUCAUCAGUACAGUCCUGAAUGUCGAGAGAGAAGAAUAAGGUAAAGCCUACAAGGUUCAGCGUCCAGUGUAUGAUAUUUCAGAAGUGUUGAAUCCUUCGAAGCAAAGGUAUCCCCAUUACCAGAAGCUUCUUUAUGGAAUAUAUUUGACAGCAAAGAAAGUGGCACAUUACAUUCAAGAUCACUCCAUAUCAGUCGUCAGUGAUGCUCCGCUAUCAGAAAUUCUUAACAAUCGGGAUGCAACGGGCCGAGUGGCUAAAUGGGCCAUGGAGUUAUUACACUACAAGAAAUAAGGUCAAUUAUGACUCCGUAUAUUGGUCAUUGAUUCAUCAUUGUUGUUGUUUAUUGACUUUUUUUGACCAAAUUUACAACGACAACAGUUGGCCGUCAAGAAUGAAUAAACAUGACAUUUCUAAAAUUUUGGUUGCAGGUCUCUAUCGACCAAAAUUUUGGUUUGGUCAUUACCCAUUUGUGUGAGCCACGUAGGAUCUGACGUGGCAUUGCUAGUGACCAAAUGGAAUCAUCAUAAGUUUCAAAUCCAUGUCCACCAAUCUAGCUACAUGGGCCUGGCCAAAUACCUAUUUUACUAUUGAAAAUGUCUUAUUUGUUUGGGUUGAAGCAUUUUUUUGCUAGAAGCACGCAUAUCUCAGGAUAGGCACAUAAAAAUAAGUACAAUAAAAUAAAAGAUUGCAAAUAAACUGUAUAUUUCAUUUCAGUAGCAUAUCACAUCAAAUACAAUACAACAUCCAUCGACUCCACGCAUUAAGGUUCAACGCCUAACAAGUGAACAUCAAAAUAAUUUUACAUGUACACAACAGAAUACUUCUGCAAGUGCAAGUGCACAGAAAAAGGACCCAACAAAGGCACAAUCGCACAUAAAGAGAGUUCCACAAAGAUUGGAUGAGAACCACAAAUUUCUUCUCAUCCUCUUCCCUUGCACAAUAUGCUCUUGCCAUUUCCAC
rnacentral:lncRNA from 1 species